CUCCCCAAGCUCGCCGCCUCGGGAGGGCUAGGGCGACGCCGGGAUCUAGCCUCCUACCUUGGGCGGCACAUACUAUCAUUUGUGUGACUCGGGGAAAGGUUGUGUUUGUGUUGCUUUAGGGUUUGGGGAGGUAACUUUUGCGCCCCUACAGGUGACAUCGCUUGCCUGCUGCUGCCAGGGGCGGAGGCUGCGGCAGCUCCACCUAGCCCUGCCCGGGCGCUCGGCUGCAGCUACUCUUUCCCCCAGCUGCACCCAGACUGGCAGCGGCUGCUCUGCCCUGACAUUUGCAGAGGAUUGGGUAAGCGCGUGCCGGAAACCUCCCGUCGCCAUCUUGGUAAAGGCAGCUGACGCCGCUUGGCUGCGCGUCCACCAUCUUGGCCGAGGUUCUCAUUACCCGGCAGCCGAAGUCGCUCGCAUUUGGUUCAGAGGUGGUGGACGCUGCCCCGUGUGUUGUCCAAGGAUGACAUGGGAGAACUAGGCUAUUAGCAAGCCACCUGUGCGGAGGCGAUCUGCACUGGCCGCCUCCAGAUGAUGCCAGGGCCACCAUCUUGGCAAAGGAAAAGACGCUCACCGCCGGAGGCAAGAAGGGACCCAAGACCUUUGCCAGCGUAGAACCUUCAGCCAGGAGAAUUUUUAUGAAGAGCACUGAGCAACCCAGUUGCUAACAAAACCCCUUCUGUUAGCAACACCUCUUCUGAUCCGGAAGAAAUGACUUCUCUUUUCUUUUCCUUGUCAGUAGUCAACUGGAGGGAAGCCCUACUCUUGGGUGCUCACCGUGGCCUCUAAAUGAGAAUUGACUCCUAGCAUGCUACUUUGCCUACUUUCCAGGCUUCUUACCUUCUAAGUUUCAAAUACCAGAAUCACAUGUCUUUACCCAGUGGGUCCCUAAAUAACCAACAGCUUCAUGGAAAGAAAGUCAAGACCCAAACCUACAAUGUUACCUUGCUGCUGCUGCUAAGUCACUUCAGUCGUGUCCGACUCUGUGUGACCCCAUAGACGGCAGCCCACCAGGCUCCCCCAUCCCUGGGAUUCUCCAGGUCCAGUGGAUCACUUUAAAAUGGGAGAGGACUCAUUGUUUCAGAUUAACAAUCACCAUUGAAAAUACUUUCAGUGGAGCAAAAG
ensembl:lncRNA